rfam:Dipodomys ordii contig_7973, whole genome shotgun sequence.
GGGAAUGUGGUUUAGCGGUAGAGUGCUUGCCUAGCAUGCAUGAAGCCCUGGGUUCAAUUCCUCAGUUCCA